rnacentral:siRNA from 1 species
UCAUCGGUUGUGCCAUACUCGC